rnacentral:rRNA from 1 species
UGCGCAGGCGGAACUUUAAGUCAGUGGUGAAAUCUUGCCGCUUAACGGUAAAAUUGCCAUUGAUACUGAAGUUCUUGAAUAUGGUUUAGGUAGGCGGAAUGUGUUGUGUAGCGGUGAAAUGCAUAGAUAUGACACAGAACUCCGAUUGCGAAGGCAGCUUACUAAACCAUUAUUGACGCUGAGGCACGAAAGCGUGGGGAGCGAACAGGAUUAGAUACCCUGGUAGUCC